rnacentral:rRNA from 1 species
CCUACGGGUGGCAGCAGUAGGGAAUAUUGCUCAAUGGGGGAAACCCUGAAGCAGCAACGCCGCGUGGAGGAUGAAGGUUCUCGGAUUGUAAACUCCUUUUGGUAGAGAAGAUAAUGACGGUAUCUAACGAAUAAGCACCGGCUAACUCCGUGCCAGCAGCCGCGGUAAUACGGAGGGUGCAAGCGUUACUCGGAAUCACUGGGCGUAAAGAGCGCGUAGGCGGGAUAGCAAGUCAGAUGUGAAAUCCUAGGGCUUAACCCUAGGACUGCAUUUGAAACUGUUAUUCUAGAGUAUGGGAGAGGUAGGUGGAAUUCUUGGUGUAGGGGUGAAAUGCGUAGAGAUCAGGAGGAAUACUGAUUGCGAAGGCGGCCUGCUAGACCAUAACUGACGUUGAGGCGCGAAAGCGUGGGGAGCAAACAGGAUUAGAUACCCGGGUAGUC